rnacentral:rRNA from 1 species
AUUGAACGCUGGCGGCAUGCCUUGCACAUGCAAGUCGAACGGUAACGCGGGGCAACCUGGCGACGAGUGGCGAACGGGUGAGUAAUACAUCGGAACGUGCCCGAUCGUGGGGGAUAACGCAGCGAAAGCUGUGCUAAUACCGCAUAUUCUGUGAGCAGGAAAGCAGGGGACCGCAAGGCCUUGCGCUCUUUGAGCGGCCGAUGUCAGAUUAGCUAGUUGGUGAGGUAAAGGCUUACCAAGGCGACGAUCUGUAGCGGGUCUGAGAGGAUGAUCCGCACACUGGAACUGAGACACGGUCCAGACUCCUACGGAGGCAGCAGUGGGGAAUUUUGGGACAAUGGGCGCAAGCCUGAUCCAGCCAUGCCGCGUGAGUGAAGAAGGCCU